rnacentral:rRNA from 1 species
GAUGAACGCUGGCGGCGUGCUUAACACAUGCAAGUCGAACGAUGAAGCCCAGCUUGCUGGGUGGAUUAGUGGCGAACGGGUGAGUAACACGUGAGUAACCUGCCCUUGACUCUGGGAUAAGCCUGGGAAACUGGGUCUAAUACUGGAUAUGACUUCUCAUCGCAUGGUGGGGGGUGGAAAGAUUUAUUGGUCUUGGAUGGACUCGCGGCCUAUCAGCUUGUUGGUGAGGUAAUGGCUCACCAAGGCGACGACGGGUAGCCGGCCUGAGAGGGUGACCGGCCACACUGGGACUGAGACACGGCCCAGACUCCUACGGGAGGCAGCAGUGGGGAAUAUUGCACAAUGGGCGCAAGCCUGAUGCAGCGACGCCGCGUGAGGGAUGACGGCCUUCGGGUUGUAAACCUCUUUCAGUAGGGAAGAAGCGAGAGUAACGGUACCUGCAGAAGAAGCGCCGGCUAACUACGUG